rnacentral:misc_RNA from 1 species
GAUGAAGAACGUAGCGAAAUGCGAUAAUUAAUGUGAAUUGCAGAAUUCCGUGAAUCAUCGAGUCUUUGAACGCACAUUGCGCCUCAUGGCAUUCCGUGAGGCAUGCCCAUCUCAGGGUUAGAAAAUAUUCUCAAAUUUUAGUUUUGUGCUAAAAUUUGGAUCAUGUCAAGGAAGCUAUUACUAUUAUUGUGAUCGCUCUUUGGAAAUUGAUAGGUCUUUGAGUUGCUACUCAUAGAACGUGAUGAAUCUUUCUUCGUUCUAUUGUAAUUCACUCUGGUAGUCCUAAAACUUGUAUGCCUGUGGCAUAUCUUGUAAUUUGACCUGAGAUUGGGUAGGGAUACCCGCUGAACUUAAGCAUAUCAAUAAGCGGAGGA